GUGCCUGAAACUAAUGAGUAAGGAAAACUUCGUCCGUGCUAAUCGCAUGGAAGUUUGCUUCAAGGCAGCGGGAAGAAGGUAAUUCUGAAUUACUGGAUUCUCGUGAAGCGAUAAUUUUUGUAAGGGUAAAGGUCGUCCCUUUGAACUCGUGAGCUCACUACUUUUGAGCUGUGGAGUUUGGGUGAAAGCGAUCUGCCCU